CCUCCCGCGGUUCCCCGCCCCGUCUCGUGCGGCGCUGGCCGGAAGGAAGCGGCACACUUCCGCUUGCCUGGUCCGCCUUGAGUCCUGUCUGUUCCGGAGACUCUGAGGGCGGCCGCUGAGCCACAGUCGCGGGGAGUGGGGUGUGGAUCCUGUGUUUGCGCACGCAGUCGCCGGUCGCCUCAGGCCAGAGCUAGAGAUACGGCUCGGGAUAGGAGGGCCCGGCGGCUCUGAGGAAGGUUCGCCUCGAGCCGCACGGCCGGGAGCAGCGGCUCCGCGGUGGUCCCCGGGGCUUGAGAGGGGAAUGGCCAUCUGGGACCUCCAUCCGUGAAAAGGCGGCUCAUUGGUCUGACUCCAACAUUAAAUUACUCCAUCCAGGAAGCCUUUCCUAGUCACCUCUGCUGGAGAUCGUCCUCCUUUGUGUGGCGGUUGUUAGUAAAGAGCACACAUUCUGUGGAAAGAUAUUGAGGGUCUUGCUCUGUUGCCCAGACUGGAGUGCCAUCGCGCCAUCUCAGCUCACUGCAGAUUCAACCUUCUGGGCUCACGAAAUCCUCUCAUCUCAACCUCCUGAGUAGCUGGGACCACAGGUUUCUCAUCACAAUCUCUUGACCCUUUUGGAUGUUCAAUCAAGAUACCAGGAAAUGAGAGAUGUGGUUUCACCUGUUGACCAGGCUGGUAUCGAACUCCAGGCCUCAAGCAAUCCUCCUGCCUUUGCCUCCCAAAAUGCUGGGAUUACAGUGAGCCACUGUACUUGGCCUGAUGUCUUCUUGAAUUUCAAAAACUCUUACGGUACUUAAUACAAUGUAUAGGUGCAGCUGACUUGCCUGUUUACAGUAGAUAGAUAUUACUGUUUUAGGGUUUUAAUUAGCUAUCAUGUCCUUUGUAUCUCAUGUCCAUUUGUAUUCUUGUUAGUUUUGUAAGGUAUAACCUAGUUAGGAAUAUGGCUAUUGUUCCACUUUAUCUUUUUUGUUGAGACAGAAUCUUAUGCACUCUGUCGCCCAGGCUGGAGUGCAGCGGUGCAAUCCUGGCUGACUGCAACCUCCGCCUCUUGAGUUUAAGCAAUUCUCCUGCCUCAGCCUCCCGAGUAGCUGGGAUUACAGGUGCCCACCACCAUGCCUGGCUAAUUUUUGUAUUUUUAGUAGGGAUGGGGUUUCACCAUGUUAGCCAGACUGGUCUGAAACUCCUGACCUCAAAUGGUCCACGCGCCUUGGCCUCCCAAAGUGCUGGGAUUACAGGUGUGAGCCACUGUGCCAUGCCUUGUUCCACUUUAUCUUUCAAGAGUAAGUUUCAUCAAUGGAUUAUGGUUAAAGACAAGUGCUGAUUUGGUUUUCCUACCUGAUCGUGAGGCCACUCGAUAGAACUAGUAAGCUAUGCCUUGGGCCUGCAGGAUGGCACCUGACUUGAAGAUGGCACCUGACUAGCAUUUGGACUGGUUUGCAGGCUGAGCACAGGGUUGCUCCAGGUGGGCCCAAAUGCUGAAGAGCCUCACGUUAGAGUUUUUCACCUCUGCGGUGCGACUGUGGUGGACUCCAAUAUCAUCAUUCCAGGGAGGCAUAGCCGCACCAACUGUGUUCCCAGGUUUCACAUGGAGAAGAGUUUUAGAAAAUGCAGAUAGCCUUGAAACCACUGGUUUCCUACCACUGUUUAUUUCAGCAUAACUUUGUGUGGAAUGCUAGCUCUGGAAGAGCAGAAAUAAAUACAGCUUAAGCUUUGAACCAUA